rnacentral:rRNA from 1 species
AUUGAACGCUGGCGGCAUGCUUUACACAUGCAAGUCGGACGGCAGCACAGAGAAGCUUGCUUCCUGGGUGGCGAGUGGCGAACGGGUGAGUAAUAUAUCGGAACGUACCGAGUAAUGGGGGAUAACUAAUCGAAAGAUUAGCUAAUACCGCAUAUUCUCUGAGGAGGAAAGCAGGGGACCUUCGGGCCUUGCGUUAUUCGAGCGGCCGGUAUCUGAUUAGCUAGUUGGUGGGGUAAAGGCCUACCAAGGCGACGAUCAGUAGCGGGUCUGAGAGGAUGAUCCGCCACACUGGGACUGAGACACGGCCCAGACUCCUACGGGAGGCAGCAGUGGGGAAUUUUGGGCAAUGGGCGCAAGCCUGAUCCAGCAAUGCCGCGUGUCUGAAGAAGGCCUUCGGGUUGUAAAGGACUUUUGUCAGGGAAGAAAAGGCUGGUGCUAAUACCGACAGCUGAUGACGGUACCUGAAGAAUAAGCACCGGCUAACUACGUG